rnacentral:rRNA from 1 species
UACGUAGGGUGCAAGCGUUGUCCGGAAUUAUUGGGCGUAAACAGCUCGUAGGCGGUCUGUCGCGUCGGCUGUGAAAUCCCGAGGCUCAACCUCGGGUCUGCAGUCGAUACGGGCAAACUAGAGUAUUGCAGGGGAGACUGGAAUUCCUGGUGUAGCGGUGAAAUGCGCAGAUAUCAGGAGGGACACCAACGGCGAAGGCAGCACUCUGGGCCGGUACUGACGCUGAGGAGCGAAAGCGUGGGGAGCAAACAGG